ACCUGACCAGCAGUUGGUUCUCCUUGCUGAACAGUACCUGACGGAUAGGCCUAGGCUGACCAAGACCUUCAAGGACCAGAACCAUAUGUUUGAUGCUAUCGCCAGUCUGACCACAGACCUGUCCCAGCAGCUCCUGCUAGACCUUGUCCUCAACAGAUCCAGACCCGACUCCUUCCUGGUGAAGAGACUCUUGAUCCACAUCAUCUCACUCGAUGGACCACCGAUAGACAAUAUCAUCACGAAACUGAAGAGCCUGUGUUUUGAGCGCA